rnacentral:rRNA from 1 species
UAUCUGCAGUCGAGCGCAGGAAACCAGAUGACCCCUUCGGGGUGAUUCUGGUGGAAUGAGCGGCGGACGGGUGAGUAACACGUGGGCAACCUGCCUGUAAGACUGGGAUAACUUCGGGAAACCGGAGCUAAUACCGGAUAGUAUUUCCUUUCUCCUGAUUGGAAAUGGAAAGACGGUUUCGGCUGUCACUUACAGAUGGGCCCGCGGUGCAUUAGCUAGUUGGUGGGGUAAUGGCCCACCAAGGCGACGAUGCAUAGCCGACCUGAGGGGGUGAUCGGCCACACUGGGACUGAGACACGGCCCAGACUCCUACGGGAGGCAGCAGUAGGGAAUCUUCCGCAAUGGACGAAAGUCUGACGGAGCAACGCCGCGUGAGCGAUGAAGGCCUUCGGGUCGUAAAGCUCUGUUGUUAGGGAAGAACAAGUACGAGAGUAACUGCUCGUACCUUGACGGUACCUAACCAGAAAGCCCCGGCUAACUACGUGCCAGCAGCCGCGGUAAUACGUAGGGGGCAAGCGUUGUCCGGAAUUAUUGGGCGUAAAGGGCUCGUAGGCGGUUUCUUAAGUCUGAUGUGAAAGCCCACAGCUCAACUGUGGAGGGUCAUUGGAAACUGGGGAACUUGAGUGCAGAAGAGGAGAGUGGAAUUCCACGUGUAGCGGUGAAAUGCGUAAAUAUGUGGAGGAACACCAGUGGCGAAGGCGACUCUCUGGUCUGUAACUGACGCUGAGGAGCGAAAGCGUGGGGAGCAAACAGGAUUAGAUACCCUGGUAGUCCACGCCGUAAACGAUGAGUGCUAGGUGUUAGGGGGUUUCCCCCCCUUAGUGCUGAAUUUACGCAUUAACACUCCCCCU